rnacentral:rRNA from 1 species
UACGUAGGGCGCAAGCGUUAUCCGGAAUUAUUGGGCGUAAAGAGCUCGUAGGCGGUUUGUCGCGUCUGCCGUGAAAGUCCGGGGCUCAACUCCGGAUCUGCGGUGGGUACGGGCAGACUAGAGUGAUGUAGGGGAGACUGGAAUUCCUGGUGUAGCGGUGGAAUGCGCAGAUAUCAGGAGGAACACCGGUGGCGAAGGCGGUUCUCUGGGCCUUACCUGACACUGAGGAGCGAAAGCGUGGGGAGCGAACAGG